rnacentral:rRNA from 1 species
GGAAACUCCGUGUCAAAGUGCCCAAUCUUGGGCUGUCUAUCGAAAGGGAAUCGGGUUAACAUUCCCGAACCAGGACGUGGAUGCUAAGCGGUAACGCAAGCAAAGCUGGGGACGGCUGCGGGGGCCCCGACAAGAGUUUUCUUUUCUUGUUAACGUGUUUUCUGACCCCGGAAUCGGAUUGACCGGAGAUUGGGUUA